rnacentral:rRNA from 1 species
ACGGGAGUGGCAAGCGUUAUCCGGAAUUAUUGGGCGUAAAGCGUCCGCAGGCGGCCUUGAAAGUCUGUCGUUAAAGCGUGGAGCUUAACUCCAUUUCGGCGGUGGAAACUACAAGGCUUGAGUGUGGUAGGGGCAGAGGGAAUUCCCGGUGUAGCGGUGAAAUGCGUAGAUAUCGGGAAGAACACCAGUGGCGAAGGCGCUCUGCUGGGCCAUAACUGACGCUCAUGGACGAAAGCUAGGGGAGCGAAAGGG